rnacentral:rRNA from 1 species
CAGCCGCCGCGGUAAUACGGAGGAUCCGAGCGUUAUCCGGAUUUAUUGGGUUUAAAGGGUGCGUAGGCGGCCUAUUAAGUCAGGGGUGAAAGACGGUAGCUUAACUAUCGCAGUGCCUUUGAUACUGAUGGGCUUGAAUGUACUUGAAGUGGGCGGAAUGUGACAAGUAGCGGUGAAAUGCAUAGAUAUGUCACAGAACACCGAUUGCGAAGGCAGCUCACUAAAGUAUGAUUGACGCUGAGGCACGAAAGCGUGGGGAUCAAACAGGAUUAGAUACCCCGGUAGUCCCUGUCUCUUAUAC